rnacentral:tRNA from 1 species
UGGGAUAGCUCAGUUGGUAGAGCAGAGGACUGANUC